UCAGAUUAGCUAGUUGGUGGGGUAAGGCCCACCAAGGCGACGAUCUGUAGCGGGUCUGAGAGGAUGAUCCGCCACACUGGGACUGAGACACGGCCCAGACUCCUACGGGAGGCAGCAGUGGGGAAUUUUGGACAAUGGGCGCAAGCCUGAUCCAGCCAUGCCGCGUGCGGGACGAAGGCCUUCGGGUUGUAAACCGCUUUCAGCCGGAAAGAAAUCGCCAAGGCUAAUACCUUUGGUGGAUGACGGUACCGGAAGAAGAAGCACCGGCUAACUACGUGCCAGCAGCCGCGGUAAUACGUAGGGUGCGAGCGUUAAUCGGAAUUACUGGGCGUAAAGCGUGCGCAGGCGGUUUUGUAAGCCAGACGUGAAAUCCCCGGGCUUAACCUGGGAACU
rnacentral:rRNA from 1 species